rnacentral:rRNA from 1 species
AAGUCGACGGUAACAGGUCUUCGGAUGCUGACGAGUGGCGAACGGGUGAGUAAUACAUCGGAACGUGCCCGAUCGUGGGGGAUAACGGAGCGAAAGCUUUGCUAAUACCGCAUACGAUCUACGGAUGAAAGCAGGGGACCGCAAGGCCUUGCGCGGACGGAGCGGCCGAUGGCAGAUUAGGUAGUUGGUGGGAUAAAAGCUUACCAAGCCGACGAUCUGUAGCUGGUCUGAGAGGACGACCAGCCACACUGGGACUGAGACACGGCCCAGACUCCUACGGGAGGCAGCAGUGGGGAAUUUUGGACAAUGGGCGAAAGCCUGAUCCAGCCAUGCCGCGUGCAGGAUGAAGGCCUUCGGGUUGUAAACUGCUUUUGUACGGAACGAAAAGACUCCUUCUAAUAAAGGGGGUCCAUGACGGUACCGUAAGAAUAAGCACCGGCUAACUACGUGCCAGCAGCCGCGGUAAUACGUAGGGUGCAAGCGUUAAUCGGAAUUACUGGGCGUAAAGCGUGCGCAGGCGGUUAUGUAAGACAGAUGUGAAAUCCCCGGGCUCAACCUGGGAACUGCAUUUGUGACUGCAUAGCUAGAGUACGGUAGAGGGGGAUGGAAUUCCGCGUGUAGCAGUGAAAUGCGUAGAUAUGCGGAGGAACACCGAUGGCGAAGGCAAUCCCCUGGACCUGUACUGACGCUCAUGCACGAAAGCGUGGGGAGCAAACAGGA